GACGAACGCUGGCGGCGUGCUUAACACAUGCCAGUCGAACGGAAAGGCCCUGCUUUUGUGGGGUGCUCGAGUGGCGAACGGGUGAGUAACACGUGAGUAACCUGCCCUUGACUUUGGGAUAACUUCAGGAAACUGGGGCUAAUACCGGAUAGGAGCUCCUGCUGCAUGGUGGGGGUUGGAAAGUUUCGGCGGUUGGGGAUGGACUCGCGGCUUAUCAGCUUGUUGGUGGGGUAGUGGCUUACCAAGGCUUUGACGGGUAGCCGGCCUGAGAGGGUGACCGGCCACACUGGGACGGAGAGACGGCGAAGAGGCCUACGGGAGGCAGCAGGAGGGAAUCUGCGGCAAUGGACGGGAGGGUGAGCGAGCAACGCCGCGUGAGUGAAGAAGGGUGGCGGAUCGUAAAGCUCGGUUGUAAGAGAAGAACGAGGGUGAGAGUGGAAAGUUCACACUGUGACGGUAUCUGACCAGAAAGGGACGGCUAACUACGUG
rnacentral:rRNA from 1 species